GGCGAGUGAAGAGGGAAGAGCCCAAGAUUGAAAGCUGGCGCCUUCGGCGUCCGCAUUGUAAUCUCAAGAAGUGUUUUCCGCUUCGGACCGAGCCUAAGUCCCUUGGAAAAGGGCAUCGUAGAGGGUGAGAAUCCCGUACAUGGCUCGGAGCGCCCGAGGCUUUGUGAUACACUCUCAAAGAGUCGAGUUGUUUGGGAAUGCAGCUCAAAAUGGGUGGUAAAUGCCAUCUAAGGCUAAAUAUUGGGGAGAGACCGAUAGCGAACAAGUACCGUGAGGGAAAGAUGAAAAGAACUUUGAAAAGAGAGUUAAACAGUACGUGAAAUUGCCAAAAGGGAAGGGUAGGAGGUCAGAGAUGCGGUCUGGGAUUCAGCCUUGCUUUUGCUUGGUGUUUUUCCCAGUUUGCAGGCCAACGUCGGUUUUGGGCGCUGGAGAAGGGUGGGAGGAACGUGGCACCCCUCGGGGUGUGUUAUAGCCUCCUACUGGAUACAGUGACCGGGACCGAGGACAGCAGCAUACUCGCAAGAGCGGGCCUUCGGGCACCUUU
rnacentral:rRNA from 1 species